CAUCCAGGAUUUUGUUCAAUUUUUCCAAAACCGAAAUUUAUAGAUCAUUCAUUGAUUUAAAUCUGAUACUUCUGCUCAAGGAAUUUCAAAAUAUACAUUGUUUUAUAAACAAAAGAAAAUUCGCUGAGGAAAGAGUUUAUUUUAUAUAUAUCGCUACUGUAGCGUAGUUAUACCUGUCGAAGGGCUGUUGAGUCCAAAAGUUUGUAUUGCCAUUAUAUAUAUAAAAGAAACUCUUCCCUCAGCAAAUUUUAUUUUAUUUAUAACUAGACGCCGACCCGGGCUUCGCCCCGGGAUUGACCCGUGUGCAUAUCUACCCGAGUGAUAUAUAUUUAGAUACGAUUUUUUUUUUAAAUAAUCGUUUUUACUCGAGGGAAUGUUUGUAGUCUAGUAUGUUGAUAUAAUAAAUCUAUCUGAAUAUUAGGAAAGGUAAGGUAAUUUUUUUGUAGGGUGAUGCUCUGAAAAAGAACGCUAUACCACUUUAUCACUAAACAAAUUGGCGAGUCAAAAAUAAGUAACCUAAACAAUCCAUUAGCUUUGCAAGAUAAGAAAAGAAAUAGAGAAAUGCAUGCAAAAUUCUCAACACAAAUCAAAAGCUUUAAUCCUCAUUAGUAAUGUAUAUUAGGUAGGAUGAGGUUUAUUUUGUUUCUAUUACAUUACAUGGAAUAGAUUUUUGUUUUUCUAAUAAAAUUUACUGACCUCUUUGUUCACUGAAACCUAAACAAAGUGUAUGUUAGACCACUCUUUGUUCAACCUUACACAUUGUUUAGGUCUCUUAUUAGGUGCAAGAUGUAUACUAAUGCUAAAAUGGUAAUUUGGGUAAACAUAGGUAAAUUCAUGUUGGGCCAGUAUUGUUCAGCAAGCCAACACAGAUAUAACAUUACGGUAUGAAGCAAGUUGUGCUAAAACUAAUAUUUCCAAUCAAAAUAUCAAAAAAAUAACACAUACUAUGUAAUAUAAAUACAUGUAUGUAAAAUAAACACAAUAAUAACCAAUAAUUAAAAACCAUAAAUUUUUCUAACACAGUAUACUUCUUAAGUAAGAAUACCUUACCAUGAAGGUUUAAAACCCUACAUAUUGAAACAUGUGAAAAAUGUAGCAUGUGUGUAUGAUGGGCUUGAAAAGAAAAUAUUAAAAAAAGAUAUUUAUUGACACUUUUGUAAUACCACACCAAAUAUGCAUAUUUACAGUUACAACAGUUGCAGAUCUUAUUAGCGCUUUAAAAGGGACAAUCAUAUAUGAGCAAAGCAUCUAUGUACAUUAGAGGACAUUAGAAACAUAGUGAAAAAAAUAUAAAAGGUAAUGAAUACAUUUUUUGCUAAUUGAGGAAAGAAAUACCUUAAGAAAGAGCUUCUUGAUAAACACACAAUAUUUUUUGUGCUGCCAUUAGGUGCGAGAAUAAAAAGAUUAUUGGAGCAACUAACGCGUGAGCAGGCAACAUAAAGCUGGCCAUGGGAAAAACAUGGAACCUGAAGAUCAAUUCCAGCCCAUUUCAAUGUUUGACCUUGUGCUUUGUUAAUUGUCAUUGCAAAGCACAACUUAACAGGAAAUUGAAGUCUUUUAAAAUGAAAGGGCAAAUCUGAAGAUAUAAUGGGAAUCCUAGGAAUCAUAACCUUCUCACCAGUGCCGCAUCCAGUCAAAAUAGUCGCCUCCAGCAGAUAUCUGUGUAAGAUGUUAACUUGCAACCGAAUACCAUUACACAAUUUUGGGGGAUUAAGAUUUCUUAACAAUAUAAUUGGGGCGCCAACCUUUAGGGUAAGACUGUGCACAGGCAUUCCAGGCGGAUUGAUUUUAAAAAUUCAAUGGGGUAAUGCACAGAAUCAUUCGGAUCUACAACAGUGUCUAUUGACAAAUAAGUUCUUGAAGAAGCGAUAAAUUUACCGAGGAUAUAUUCAUUUAUAUUGUCCACGGCAUCAUUUCUUGGUGCUAAUAAAGCCCUUUCACUGAACCAAGAAAGUGGCAUGGUAAGUAAAGAGCCUAUAUUGGGGUAAACAGAUGAUAUUAAGGUAUGGAUAUCUUCAACCAAGACACAAAGAUCACUUGAUGCAAUGGAGAUGAGUCCCUCGUGAGUUGAAAAUGUCCCAUUGCCCAGUUGAAGCAACAGCUGAGAGAAGCUGCUUCCUCUGUCGCCAAAGAGAUGUGACCGCAUAUUGAUAGUGAGAGAUAACUUAACAAUACUACUCCAAAUAUGAGAGCGUUUAAGGCAUGCAUUAACCUCAUCUGCUCGAGUGCCUUUGGGAAUAACCGGUAAAGUUUGUCGGAAGUCCCCAACAAAAAGAAAUGUCACCCCUCCCAUUAUGCUGUUGUUAUCCCUAAGAUCUUUCAGAGUGCGAUCAAGGGCCUCGAUUGAGCGUCUAUGAGCCAUUGUGCAUUCAUCCCAUAUAAAUAAUGAGCUUUGCUGUAGAAUUUUGGAAGUGGCGCUCUGUUUAGCAAUGUUACAGACUGCUAAUUCAUCAUCAUAGAGAUUCAAAGGUAGCUUAAAUAGAGAAUGUGCUGUUCUGCCGCCAUCAAGGAGUGUAGCAGCGAUUCCAGAAGAAGCAGCAGCACAAACUACUAAACCCUCUAAGCGCAAUUUGGCUAACAAAAGAUUAAUAAUAAAAGUUUUUCCAGUGCCACCAGGAGCAUCCAAAAAAAAAAAUCGUGCCAGCCCUAGAGCGAACACUAUUAAGAAUGGCCUCAUAACAAUAUUUCUGAUCAGGAUUUAAAGAAAAUUCGCGGGUUGAAGCCAAAGUUUCUAGCUCACGCCUAUCAUAUAUGUCUGAUAAAAAUGAUGCCUCUCUGGGUGGUGAUACAUUUUCAGGAAGCGGCAAACCCAUACAUGCAAUACUUUUACCUGAAAUUGACAGAACAUUUUUAUCAAUUUCCAGUAACGCGGCAUUGAAAACAUCAGCAUUGUAAUCAAGUUCAGGGAUGGACAUAUCUCGUCGCAUUCGGUGCAAAAUAUCUUCAGACAUACACUCCUUAUGAGCAUGCCACAGCGUAAGUGUAUCAGACAUGUGGCAGAAGAUGAGCAUUGUAGAGAACAAUGCUCUCACCGAUGCUGCAUUACGACAUAUAGAUGCCUCUUUGAGAGUUUCAUUCCAGUGAGAGUCGUCUUCUAGUAAGCCUAAAGCUUUGCAGGCCAUUUGGAAGGUAGUGUGGAUAACUCCUUCAACUGUGCGCAAACUCUGGAAAGAACAUGGCCCUCUAAUAUGGAACAAAAGAAGUCUCAAAUAGUAACAUUCAGCAUUAGUUGGGUGAACUGUAUAGACGCGGCCAAGAACAUCACUUUUCCGCACACCAGGAAAUCCUUCUACAGGAGUACCCUGCUUUCUGCCUAAAAAUUUAUUGUUGGUCCAGGUAUAGAAAGAAGGAACUUCACAGUAUAAUAGUGUCCUAGCAAAUGUGUCUUGGUUACAAAGCUUAAAAAAUGCUGUCAGAGUUGUAUCUCUUGGAUUUGAAAUAACAUUUUCUGCAUUUGCAGUAGUGAAAUAGACCCUCUGUCCAUUUUCAAGGUGAGCACCUAAGUGUACAAUAGGAGGUGAUCUUUCAUGGAUGCUGAAACCCAGAAACCUCCAAACAGCUUCUGCGGAACUUAUAUAGCGGCCAGACUGAAAUUGGGUAACCUCAUCAAGGUGAUUCAAAGAGAAAACUGCCUGAUCAGUUCCCUUAUUAAUGUAUUUGCACAUGUAUUUGAUGGCCUUUACGGAGCUGCAGUAUUCCAAAUUUAUAUGGGAAUCAAAAGCACGAAGGAGAACAGAAUUAUAGGGCACAAUCCAGCGAUUGUCAAUUUCAAAAGUAACUCCUCGCAUAUUCACCGAUGAAGUAAGACCACCUUCAGCAGAGCGCCGUCUUCGUUAUCGGGGAUAACUAUCUUCUGUUGUCGAAGUUGUCUCAUAAAAACCUUUAGGAUAUUUUUUGCUACAUUUCCCAUCCUUCAUACAUGGAGAAUUUGUAUUCAGAACCCCACAUGGACCAUGAACCAUUUGUUUCAUGACAAUUGCAUGAAGCUCUGGGUCUAAGUUAAUAUCCGGAAUCUCGGCUUGUAUGACCUCAUCAAUUUGAUUAGGUCUAAUUAUGUUUGUAAGCCAAAGCAGUAAAUGCGCAUGUGGUAGACCACGCUUCUGCCACUCUAUUGUGAACAUAAAACACUUGCAAGGCCCAAAUAGCUCAGCCUUAGUUACUAAAUAGAUAAGCUUUUUCAUUUUAAGGUGAAAAACACGACUAAUCAAAUCAUAUCUAUCUUUAGCAGAGUUAUUUGAAAAUAAAUGCAUCUGAAUUUCUUUCCAUUGAGGGUUGCAUGUAAAUGUUAUAAAAAGCUGAGGCCUUCCAUAGCUACGAACAUAAGUCAUUGCAUCUUGGGUAAGCUCAUGCAGAUAACGGGGACCACCAGUAAAUGAUGAUGGCAGUAUGACUAUUUGGCCUAUAUUGGCUAAAUUCUCAUCUGCUCGCAGAGCAUCUUGCAGGUGAAUAUAAUUUUCUGUCCGAAGCUUUUUCUGAUUGCGCCGUAUGAAGGAAAGCCUUUCUGAUUCAACCUUAGCAUACAUAUCAACCCAGAAUUGAUUUGUAAGCAUGCCAUAACGCAGUAGUGAGUUAAAUUCCCCAGCACGAGUCAUCAUUCUGUAAGCAUAAAAAUUCAUGCACGAUACAGUCUUCUGCAUUAUUUCUCUAGUGGAUGGAUUGACUUGAGGUAGCGAAACAGAAUAACCGACCUCACCCCUGCAAAAAAUUAACGGGUAUUGUAGAGGGUCAUAUGCUUGAUGGAUCUCGGAUAUUCUUUGUGUCAAAUUAUUACGACAAUGUAAUUCAAUAUCUCUCGGCCCAAAUUCCUGACCAACCAUCAGCAGAGCUAUUUCAUUGGUCAUGGGCGCAUUGUAGCGACGCUCAUGCUCUUCUGGUGGAAGCUUAUCAGAGUGUAUAAUAACCCGGUAGUCAGCGUGAUUUUGAGGAAGAGUUUCUAAGGCUGCUUUAAAGGAUUGAAUAUAAUGAUUGUGCGCAUGCAAUAAAUCUUGCAAAGAGCGAACUAAAUCUCUGUUCAAGUUUGCUGUCAUGUUGCAACGUGCAGUAACCUGAGACUCAUAAUUAUCGAUAAAGUAUAUCAGCAGGAAUUUGUGCUCACUAUCAGGUUCUGGAAGGAGACUACCAAUUACGUGGUAAACUUGGCCUUGGACUUUGAAAGUAGGCAUAUAACCUUGCUCCACAACUUGUCUAGCACCAAAAGAUGUCAUUUGGAAUAUAGAGUUAUAUCUACGGAUAUGCAGCAAGAAGGACUUCGAUAGAGGAUGUAGGCCAGAGAGCAAAGAGAAAAUAGGUUCUGGAGGGGACUCAAUAGCAGGUAGAGAAACUCUACCUUGUUUACAACAGAGGCCAAAGGGUUCAUCUCUAAAUCUCAAAGCAGAGCAAAACUGGCAUACCCGAGACAUUUGGCCUAUAUCGACAGAUGAAUCAGCUUUAUAAUCAAUAUGGGCAUUAUACUGCAAACCUGAAAAUGGCUUAUGAGUCCAAAGCUGAAUACGCUGAACAGGAACUUGCAUAGUUUGUGUAGCUGCGACGCGGGCUUCAGAAUACCUAAGACGGCGAAGCGCACGACGCGUCUCACUUUGAAGUGGUGUCUGAAUAGCUCUAGCAUUCCGUAAUCUCCUGGAAGCAGCCGUAUUCCUACCAAUUAAAGGUCGGCUGCGGCGAGGCAUAUUCUGAAAAAAAAAAGAUUGAGAUUAAUAACAAAAGCUUAAAAACCAGCAAUUUAUAAACAAAGCACAAAAAUUUCCUGUCUUUUUGAGGUAAAAAUCAAAAUUCUUAAUUUUUUUCUUCAAAAUAACCUCCAGAUAUGUUAAAAAGAUUUUAAAAAACUAAAAGCAUAAUAUUAAUACUAAAGAAUUAAUGUACAAAACCAGCUAUCAUUAAAAAGCCUCAAAAAUAGACCAACCGCUGGACACGGCAAUGAAAACGCAUGCUUUUUUGAGGUAAAAAAUAGAAAUAAUUUUCUAAAAUACAAAAUACAACCCCUAUAUGUUAAAAAAACUAUAAAUAAUCUAAAUAUAAAAUACUUAAUCAAAUAAAUUGAAUUUUGCAAAAGGACCUCAAAAAAAAACAAAUAAAUGAAUCCGUUAAAGAAAUCCCUUGCUUAUUUUAAAAUAUAAAUAUCCUAUUUUUUAGAUACAACCCAUAUAUGUAGAAAAUAUAAUAAAUAAACUGUAUUUAAAAUAAAAAAGCAAUAAUUAAAAAAUUUCAUAAGAAAAUUUUAAAAAGGACUUCAAAAUGACCCAUAAUUGAACAUACCAAUAAAAUAUCUUGCAUCUUAGUGAAAAAAAAAGAAGAAAUAAUCCAAAAUUUGUUUACAAAACAACCCAUAUAUGCUGAAAACACCAUAAAUAAUCUACUUCUAAAAUAUCUAAGCAAUUAAUUAAAAUGCAAUUUCAAGCUUUUUAGUGAAAAAAAAAAGAAAAAUAACCCAAUUUUUUUUACAAAACAACCCAUAUAAGUGGAAAACACCAUAAAUAAUCUGUAACUAAAAUAUCUAAACAAUUAAUUAAUGUUAAGGUCCUCAAAAAAAGACAUAAAAUUGAGCACAUGAAUGAAAUUUCUAGCUUUUUAGUGAAAAAAAGAGGUCCUCAAAAAAGACAUAAAAUCGAGCACAUGAAUGAAAUUUCUAGCUUUUUAGUGAAAAAAAUAGAAAUAACCCUAAAUUCGUAAAAAAUAAUAUAAAUUACCUUAGUCUUAUAAAAAUACUAACCACGUAAUAAAAUAAAAAAUAAACUUGAUCUCAUCAAGUAAGGCUUCAACUUUUUUCGGUAUAAAAUAUGAAAACUAUAAAAUAAAAGUAUCUUACCAUGUAUAAAAGUUAUUAUUAAAAUUAAAAAAUAUAUAUAUAAAAAAGAUUAGAACUAAUUUAGCAAGAAGCGGAAAGUAAACACUUUUGAAAGUGUAAAUACUUUUACUCUGUUGAAUUUUUUUUUUAUUUUAUCGAUAACAGCAAAGUUAUGUAUUUUAAAGUUAGGAAAAAUAUUUUGAUGUUAAGCAAAACCUGCUCCAUCUCGUUUUAAAUAAAUGUUGAAAAUUUGGUCGAAAUUGAUGCAUUGUAACGAAAGUUUUUAGCGAACACCACUUAUGAAAUUUGCAUUUUAUUAAUAUAGAUUUACAGAAGGGAUUAUAUUAAUAAAAAAUAAAUUGUUUUAACACAUUUGAUGAAUUUAUAAAAGAAUAGAUGCCUUUUGCUCAUAUAUAUUCAAAAAUUGAGAUUUAUAUGCAAAAAGGAAACAUCAACCGUUUAAAAUACCCAAUAUUGGACUUUCUUGAUAUUAUUUAAGCCUCCCACACAUAUUCGGUAAAAUGAAUAUGCCACAAUACCAGCUUUUUACAGAAAUCAUAAUAUGUUAGAUUUGCACAUAGAAAAUAGAGAACAAGGAUUGUUUUUAAUGAAUAUCAAAAGGUAGAUAUACCCCAUCCAGAAAAUGAUAAUUUUUUGUCUUGAAAAAAUUACCAUAUAUGAUGAUUUACCUACUUUACUCAUUAUUGUUGACUCUAUUUAUUUCAUUGAAGUUAAAUGCAUUUUUGUUUCAGUAAUUCAGCAAAAAAUAAUUGUGAUAGAGUCGCCUUUUUUCUUUUUUAAAUAUACAAGGUGCGUUCAUUAAUUUCCAGGACUGCUCUGUAUCUUUGAAAAAAUAAAACAAAUAAAAAAACUAAUUCAAUAUUUUUCAAAAUAUGCCCCUCCUGCCUCAAUACACCCGUUCCAUCUUUUUUUCCAAUUGUCGAAGCAGGAGAUAAAAUCACUUUUUGAGAGGUUCCUCAAGGUUGCCUUCGAUUCAGCUUGUAUCAUAUCAACGUUGUCAAAUUUCCGUCCUUUCAAGUUAAUUUUCAAUUUAGGAUAGAGGAAAAAGUCAUUGGGGGCUAAGUCGGGGGAAUAGGGUGGAUGAGGGAUCUGUAUGGUUGAAUGCUUGGCCAAAAACUGCAAAACAACAUGGGCUGUGUGCGGCCGCGCAUUACCGACGUGAAGUAUCUAGUCAUUGUUUUGCCAUCUUUCAGGUCUUUUAAGGCGCACUGCCUCCCUUAAGCACCUCAUUAUCCCCAAAUAAACAGAUAGUCCAGUCACUGAAGAUAAUUCUUCUGUUAGAUUUAAUUAACUCCUUUAUUUUGAGCUUGUUUUCCUCGCAACGAAAUGAUCUUGGACGCCCAGUAUGCUGAUCAUCGUUUACCUUUUCCCGACCUUUUUGGAAGCGUGAAAAUUAUUCAAAAGUUCUUGAACGGGAUAAAGCUGCAUCGCCAAAAGCUUCUUUAAUCGAUUCAUACGUCUCAGUAUCACUUUUUUUUUUCAAUUUAAAACAAAACUUAAUGCAGAUUCUCUGCUCUUCGAAAUGGCCAUUUUAAAAUUAGAAAUGCGAACCUUACAAGGAAGUUGUUUUGUUCUAUUUUUAGAUCGGCGCGUGCGCCACGAGACUCGUGCUUUCAGUCAGGUGUGGUCGAAUGUCCAAUAUUCAACUCUGUAAAAAAUAUUUUCUCUAGCUUUUUUAUUUAUUUUAUUUUUUAACCAGUCCUGGAAAUUAAUGAACGCACCUUGUAUAUUCAUGACUUCCCCUCACUAUCUUUACUAUGUGUUAUGUGUAUAAUAGAUGCUAAGUUAUCUCUACUUGAUAAAUGUAGUAUGAAUAUCAUUUUAUUAUAGAUAUUAACAGUCUAAUACUGAGCCCAAUUUUAUAACUUUACUUAUUUAUCCUGUCUGUGGAUUUUGAGAACAUUUUCAUUUUUUCUUUUUUUUAUUGACAAAAUCAAUUAAUAUAAGCCUAUCAUUCAUUACCAUAUAUCACAAAAUCA
rnacentral:piRNA from 1 species